rnacentral:rRNA from 1 species
UUGCUCCCGGAUGUUAGCGGCGGACGGGUGAGUAACACGUGGGUAACCUGCCUGUAAGACUGGGAUAACUCCGGGAAACCGGAGCUAAUACCGGAUAGUUCCUUGAACCGCAUGGUUCAAGGAUGAAAGACGGUUUCGGCUGUCACUUACAGAUGGACCCGCGGCGCAUUAGCUAGUUGGUGGGGUAAUGGCUCACCAAGGCGACGAUGCGUAGCCGACCUGAGAGGGUGAUCGGCCACACUGGGACUGAGACACGGCCCAGACUCCUACGGGAGGCAGCAGUAGGGAAUCUUCCGCAAUGGACGAAAGUCUGACGGAGCAACGCCGCGUGAGUGAUGAAGGUUUUCGGAUCGUAAAGCUCUGUUGUUAGGGAAGAACAAGUGCGAGAGUAACUGCUCGCACCUUGACGGUACCUAACCAGAAAGCCACGGCUAACUACGUGCCAGCAGCCGCGGUAAUACGUAGGUGGCAAGCGUUGUCCGGAAUUAUUGGGCGUAAAGGGCUCGCAGGCGGUUUCUUAAGUCUGAUGUGAAAGCCCCCGGCUCAACCGGGGAGGGUCAUUGGAAACUGGGAAACUUGAGUGCAGAAGAGGAGAGUGGAAUUCCACGUGUAGCGGUGAAAUGCGUAGAGAUGUGGAGGAACACCAGUGGCGAAGGCGACUCUCUGGUCUGUAACUGACGCUGAGGAGCG